UACGAAGGGUGCAAACGUUGCUCGGAAUCAUUGGGCGUAAAGCGCACGUAGGCGGCUUCAAAAGUCGGAUGUGAAAUCCCACGGCUCAACCGUGGACGUGCAUCCGAAACUGGGAGGCUUGAGUACUGAAGAGGAUCGCGGAAUUCCCGGUGUAGAGGUGAAAUUCGUAGAUAUCGGGAGGAACACCAGUGGCGAAGGCGGCAUCCUGGACCAACACUGACACUGAGGAGCGAAAGCCAGGGGAGCAAACGGG
rnacentral:rRNA from 1 species